rnacentral:rRNA from 1 species
UAGAGUUUGAUCCUGGCUCAGGACGAACGCUGGCGGCGCGCUUAACACAUGCAAGUCGAGCGAGAACCAGGGCUUCGGCCCUGGGGACAGCGGCGAACGGGUGAGUAACACGUGGGUAAUCCACCCUCGGCACCGGAAUAGCCCGGGGAAACCCGGAUUAAUGCCGGAUGGCCCGCCGGCCCCGCGGGGCUGGCGGAAAAGGUAGCUUCGGCCUCCGGCCGAGGACGAGCCCGCGACGGAUUAGCUUGUUGGUGGGGUAACGGCCUACCAAGGCUGCGAUCCGUAGCUGGUCUGAGAGGACGAUCAGCCACACUGGGACUGAGACACGGCCCAGACUCCUACGGGAGGCAGCAGUGGGGAAUCUUGCGCAAUGGGCGAAAGCCUGACGCAGCGACGCCGCGUGAGGGAAGAAGGCCUUCGGGUUGUAAAC